rnacentral:rRNA from 1 species
CCUACGGGAGGCAGCAGUGAGGAAUAUUGGUCAAUGGGCGCGAGCCUGAACCAGCCAAGUCGCGUGAGGGAAGACGGUCCUAUGGAUUGUAAACCUCUUUUGUCGGGGAGCAAAAGACGCCACGCGUGGCGUUCCGAGAGUACCCUACGAACAAGCAUCGGCUAACUCCGUGCCAGCAGCCGCGGUAAUACGGAGGAUGCGAGCGUUAUCCGGAUUUAUUGGGUUUAAAGGGUGCGCAGGAGGAAGAUCAAGUCAGCGGUAAAAUUGAGAGGCUCAACCUCUUCGAGCCGUUGAAACUGGUGUUCUUGAGUGAGUGAGAAGUAGGCGGAAUGCGUGGUGUAGCGGUGAAAUGCAUAGAUAUCACGCAGAACUCCGAUUGCGAAGGCAGCAUACCGGAGCUCAACUGACGCUCAUGCACGAAAGUGUGGGUAUCGAACAGGAUUAGAUACCCGAGUAGUC